rnacentral:rRNA from 1 species
GAUGAACGCUGGCGGCGUGCUUAACACAUGCAAGUCGAACGAGAAGUGGAGACGGAAACCUUCGGGCGGAAGACUUUACUUCGAGUGGCGGACGGGUGAGUAACGCGUGGGUAACCUGCCUCAUACAGGGGGAUAACAGUUGGAAACGACUGUUAAUACCGCAUAAGACCACAGCACCGCAUGGUGCGGGGGUAAAAACUCCGGUGGUAUGAGAUGGACCCGCGUUCGAUUAGCCAGUUGGCGGGGUAACGGCCCACCAAAGCGACGAUCGAUAGCCGAUCUGAGAGGAUGACCGGCCACAUUGGGACUGAGACACGGCCCAAACUCCUACGGGAGGCAGCAGUGGGGAAUAUUGCACAAUGGGGGAAACCCUGAUGCAGCGACGCCGCGUGAGUGAAGAAGUAUUUCGGUAUGUAGAGCUCUAUCAGCAGGGAAGAAAAUGACAGUACCUGAGUAAGAAGCCCCGGCUAACUACGUG